rnacentral:misc_RNA from 1 species
UUUCCGUAGGUGAACCUGCGGAAGGAUCAUUACUGAGUCUAGGUUCUCUCCCGAGGCCUGACCUUCUAACCCAAUGUCAAAAUUACACCUUGAAUGUUGCUUCGGCGGGACGGUCUCCCCUGACCGCCGGAGGAUUGGUCUCGACCGGUCCUCUGGAGCGUUGCCCGCCGAUGGCCUCUUCAUAACUACUUGUACUAAACCGUGACGCCUAAAAACAUAUCCAUGAAUAAUGGUUAAAACAAAACUUUCAACAACGGAUCUCUUGGGUCUGGCAUCGAUGAAGAACGCAGC